AUCGAACGCUGGCGGCAUGCCUAACACAUGCAAGUCGAACGAGUGGCGGACGGGUGAGUCAUGUCUGGGAAACUGCCUGAUGGAGGGGGAUAACUUCUGGAAACGGUAGCUAAUACCGCAUAGCAUCAGAUUUGGCCAGAUGGGAUUGGCUUGUUGGUGGGGUAACGGUUCACCAGGGCCACGAUCCCUAGCUGGUCUGAGAGGAUGACCAGCCACACUGGAACUGUGACACGGUCCAGACGCCUACGGGAGGCAGCAGUGGGGAAUAUUGCAAAAUGGGAGAAAGCCUGAUGCAGCCAUGCCGCGUGGAUGAAGAAGGCCUUCGGGUUGUAAAGUACUUUCAGCGGGGAGGCGUUACCCGCAGAAGAAGCACCGGCUAACUCCGUGCCAGCAGCCGCGGUAAUAC
rnacentral:rRNA from 1 species